AGAGUUUGAUCCUGGCUCAGAGCGAACGCUGGCGGCGUGGAUAAGGCAUGCAAGUCGAGCGAUCCCCGCAAGGGGAUAGCGGCAAACGGGUGAGUAACGCGUAGGUAACCUGCCCCGAAGAGUGGGACAACCUGACGAAAGACAGGCUAAUACCACAUGUGCUUGCGAGGCCUCCUGGCCUUGCAAGGAAAGGUGGCGAUCCGCAAGGAGCUACCACUUUGGGAGGGACCUGCGUCCCAUCAGCUAGUUGGUAGGGUAACGGCCUACCAAGGCUUAUGACGGGUAGCUAGCCUUAGAGGACGGUUAGCCACACUGGGACUGAGACACUGCCCAGACUCCUACGGGAGGCUGCAGUCGAGAAUCUUUGGCAAUGGGCGAAAGCCUGACCAUGCGACGCCGCGUGCGGGAUGAAGGCCUUCGGGUCGUAAACCGCUGUUACGAGGAGCGAAGGCAUGGGCUGCGAACAGUGGCUCAUGCUUGACGGUACCUCGGAAGAAAGCCCCGGCAAACUCCGUGCCAGCAGCCGCGGUAAUACGGAGGGGGCGAGCGUUGCUCGGAUUUACUGGGUGUAAAGGGCGUGUAGGCGGUUCCGUAAGCCCUGCCUGAAAGGCCACGGCUCAACCGUGGUACGCGGCAGGGGACUGCAGGACUGGAGGGUGGAAGAGGCGAGCGGAAUUCCCGGUGUAAGGGUGAAAUCUGUAGAUAUCGGGAGGAACACCAGUGGCGAAAGCGGCUCGCUGGUCCAUACCUGACGCUGAGAUGCGAAAGCUAGGGGAGCGAACAGGAUUAGAUACCCUGGUAGUCCUAGCCGUAAACGAUGAGCACUAGGUGUUGGUCCCGUCUUGGGAUCAGUGCCGCAGUUAACACGAUAAGUGCUCCACCUGAGGAGUACGGCCGCAAGGUUGAAACUCAAAGGAAUUGACGGGGGCCAGCACAAGCGGUGGAACAUGUGGUUCAAUUCGAUGCUAC
rnacentral:rRNA from 1 species